GAGAGUUAAACAGUACGUGAAAUUGUUGAAAGGGAAACGAUUGAAGUCAGUCAUACCAACGGGAAAUCAACCUUUUGAGCUUGGUCUCGUGGGUUUUGAAGAGUUUCAAAGCCUUCGGAUUCGCGAGAUUGGGAUCUCUCGGUGUACUUUCUCGUACGGUUAGUCAACAUCGGUUUUGAAUGUCAUAAAAUGACUGGAGGAAUGUAGCUUCGAUCUCGUAUUGAAGUGUUAUAGCCUUUGGUAGAUGUGAUGUUUGAGACCGAGGAUUGCAACGGAUACCCUUCAGGGCUAUUCGUCUGAUCUCUGAUACGUUGCCUUGAUGUUGAAAGCUUGCUUAUGAUGUUAGGGUAUUACGGUCAAAAGGUUAGAACGAAUUACAUUCGUUAAGGAUGUUGACGUAAUGACUUUAAACGA
rnacentral:rRNA from 1 species